rnacentral:lncRNA from 1 species
AAUGAGACAACUCUCCACAACAGACCAAAUGACACAACAAUUAACAACUAAAGGUCACUGUAUGGCCUUCAACAAUGAGCAAAGUGCAUACCGCAUAAACUUUUAAAAGACCCCCGAACUGGCUGUUGUAAAACAAUAUAAAUAAGAAAAUACCGGCUUAAUCUAUGAACAAAAAAUGAACGAAAAAAGUUAACAAAUCAACAAACGAC